rnacentral:rRNA from 1 species
CAUGAAGUCGGAAUCGCUAGUAAUCGUGGAUCAGAAUGCCACGGUGAAUACGUUCCCGGGCCUUGUACACACCGCCCGUCACACCAUGGGAGUGAGUUGCAAAAGAAGUAGGUAGCUUAACCUUCGGGAGGGCGCUUACCACUUUGUGAUUCAUGACUGGGGUGAAGUCGUAACAAGGUAACCGUAGGGGAACCUGCGGUUGGAUCACCUCCUUACCUUAAAGAAGC